AAAAGGUUAGGCGCAUUUAAAAAUGUCUGCUCGUGAAAUGCUAACUUUUGUUACAUAUUUUCCCAUUAUGGUAGGCGAUUUCGUGCCACGUGACGAUGAAGUUUGGCAGCUCGUACUAACAUUAAUUGUAAUAGUAUGUACUAUAUUGACUUGUCGGGUGGACGACUUCAUGAUAAAUUCUUUGGAAAGUAAUAUAAAAAGACACAAUAAAAUGUAUCUCAAGUUAUUUAAUGAUAAACUUAAACCUAAGUUUCAUAUACUGACGCAUUAUCCUGAAGUUAUAAAGGCUUGCGGCCUUAUAAAGGCUUUCCGUAUGAGGCAAAACAUAGGAGCUUUAAAUUGUAUGCUCACGCAAUCACGUCUAGAAAAAAUAUUUCUGCUUCCAUGGCAAAAAAAUAUCAAUUUGUGUUUGCAGAUUUUUUGUUAGAAAAAACUGAGAUUCCCGACAUUAUUUGCUCCAAUACCAGCGAGUGUCAAGAUUAUUUGCUGGACGUUAUAAGCCUCAAGCCUUAUUUGCUGGACGUUAUAAGCCUCAAAUUAAAAGUUGCAAAGAAUACUAUAAAGACUUUUGAAAAAGUUGUUUAUAAAAAUAUCACAUACAAAAGUUCGUAUUUUGUAGCAACAAAAAAAGAUGAUGUAUACAAUAUUGUUAAUAUCGUUGUUUCACAACUCACAGUUUAUUUGGUUUGUCAACAAGUUCUAAACAGUACGUAUUUGAAACACUACACUGCAUUUGAAAUUAUUCCAAAUGAUAAAGGAGAAUAUACCGUUUUGAAACUUGACGAAUUAAUUGGACCACCGGCCACAUUGAUUAAUACCGCUAAUAUGCUUCGUUUCAAAGAAACAAUUUAAAAAUACCUUUUUCCAUGCUAAAUAAUUUUUUUUUAUAUUUAAAAUGUCUGAAACAAACUCGGAGGCUUUGAGCUGUGGCGAAGAAGAUGCCUUAAAAAACUUACUAAUAUCAUGGGGUGUAGAAGACAAAUUGGACAUACUCAUACGUGAACAUAUUUCUAUUGAUAUUUUGAAAAUACUAACUGAGAAACAAGUAAAAGAGCUGACACAGAAUUGGAGACAAGGCCCAGUUCAUUCAUUAUUUCACAAAGUGGAGAUAUGAUUAACCAUCCAUUUUGGGCAGAAUGUUCAAGUUCUCUAGUUUUUUCCAAAAAAGCCGAUUCGUGUAACUCAUCUGAUACAGAAGUCGAUAACGUCAAUAUGUUGGAGCUAUUGCAAAGUAAUAAAAAUGGGGAACGUGUGCUACAGUUUUACAAAGUUUUAAUUAUAAACAUUGCUGCCCAGCAUUUUGCAAGAAAAGACACACCGAUGACUCUCCAACAAGCUACAAACUCGAAACGCAAAUAUUGUCUUUAUUUCCGACUGAAAAACAAAGCAAAGAGCUUUUUAUGUUGGAAAACGAAUCACCUACGACGUCAAAUAAGUUGAUUGAUAUUGAAUUAAAUCGCACAACAAAAUGCUCAACUGGGACCAAAAAAUCCGAAAGUUGGUUAACUUUCUAAAAAAAUUUAAGCAACUUAAAUGUCAUGGUGAGUCAACAAUUUUAGAAAGUCUGCAGGACGAAGAUUUGGAAAACGAUCGGGGCACAUUUGUAGUGAAAACCCUAUGGAUUUUACAUUAUGUUCUUUUCCCGACUGGGCGGCAAGUUCGAAAAACAAAACUCGGAAAUAAGGAAAAAUCUCGCUUUACAAUAAAGGACUCCCAGAAGACGUUUUUGUUUUUGGGAACGAUUUUGCAAGAAUUACACGACCAUAUGGAUUUUUUGUUAAAGAUGAAAGAACAUAUUCAGCCUUUUAUAUUGGGAAUCGGAAGUCUGGACGAUACACAUGAAAUUUUUGUUUAUUUUGAUGGUGACCUCAUACAGUUUCCUAACAUUUAUACACUAUAUAACUUAAGAAAGUUAUAGUAUUUUAUAAGAACUUGUAUGUUGAAAAUAUUUUCAAUAUAUUCCUGUUAAAAACAAAUCAAAAUGGACUGAAAAAUGAAUGACAACUAAGUAGAAUUGUUUACAAAAUAUGAUAUGUAAGGAAAAAAUGAACUUUUGUAACAAUGAUUAAAUAAUAUUUACAAACUUAAUUUUGCAAAACAAGUCAAAAUAUGAAUUUAUUAUUCUUGAGUUUAACAUAUAUAUCUAAGACCUCUUUGGUUUGUAAAUGAAUUAACAAAGAUACUGUACAUGAAUGUACCCAACAUAUUUUAGAUGUUGCUAUUUUUUUGCCCAACAAUGUGCGUGCUAUUUAUUUGGCGCACCACUGUACCGUAGCGGUACGCAUUUAAUAUGCACACAUACAUGCAUACGCAAGCGGUACCAAACUAUUAUGUAUUUACAAGUCUUCGUUCUCUUUUCCAGUCAGCAUUGGAAAAGUCAAAGCAAAAAUGCAGUUGGUGACGGCUUUGAUGAGAACGAGAUAUUCAUUCGAAGUUUUGCGUAAAAUCGAUCAACACGAUACUUGACCCCGCCGCCGUGAUAAAGUGAAGUGAAAGUUAAAUUUUAAAGCA